AGGGAAGGGGAAGGUGUUUUUUGUUCUUUUUUUUUUUGCUGUGGGUGUGUUUUGUAUGCACAGUGACUAACUCAUUGCGGUUCAGCUAAUUGGCAGGAAGGCCUUCAUCUCACUGUGGAAGUGGUGUGAUGUGGUACUCUGCGAUGGAGAAGUGAUCUUUGAUGACGCCAAAGAAUUUUUAACAAAGCAACACCAUAGAGAUCUUUGUUAUUUGUACUGCUGCUGGCAGGAAUAUCUGAGUGCUUCACGUCUGAAAUAAGCUUGAGAUUUGCUGCUUCCAGCACAGAUUGAAAGCAAGAUAUUUGUCUUUAGUGCUGACAGAGCUGAUACCAAGAGUCAGAAGCUAAUGUCCUCAGGCAUGUACUUCUCCAGUUCUCUGUCUCAAGUAGACAUUGGGUUCAGAGCUCAGCAGGAUGUGACAUUUUAUUGUACUGCUUUUGAGCUGCUUUAUUCCCUGGAAACUCUUAUGCUGUCCUGGCCUUAAAGUCAAGUUUGCCACAUGAACAAAUGCAUAUCAAAUGAUGACAGAUCUACAAGUAAAGGAUUCACACAAGGCACAGAGUGGGCAAGAUGACCUCUGGGAGCAACCAGUACAACAUCACCAGGACCAAGAAUAGUUAUCUCUAAGGACUUGGCUUCAUCUGUUCUGAGAUGCUGACAGAUCUGUAGAAGCCUGGUUUUGUCGCUGUAUUUGGAACAACUCCAAGCCGACAAAAGGGGGUAAGUAUUUUUGUUUAAUUAAACUGAAUGUGGUUCUUCAUGGAGAAAAUACCCUGGUUUCAUUCACAAAGAUAACUAUGAUCUAGCUAUGGAGUACUUUGCUAACAAGGAGCUUGUUAUCUAUAUGUGGUCCAUGAAUAAACUUUGAGUUAAACAGAUUUUGAGAAAGGGAACCCUACUAGAUUUGCGGGUAGUUACCAUUCUUUCAUCUGAAGCUAAAGAACACAAGAGGUACUAAAUGUCUUCUCUAUAUGGAAAAGCUGAGAACAACAAAAUAAGACCGAAUACAAACAUAACAUGAACUACUCGGUGAUGUAGUCCAACUUACGGCUAUUUUCUCACUUACAUUUCACACAUGGAGUGAAGUGUCUGGUAGUCUAUCUACAUCUA
rnacentral:lncRNA from 1 species